GUCUACAGCCAUACCACCCUGAAUCUGCCAGAUCUCAGAAGCUAAGCAGGGUUGGGCCUGAUUAGUACUUGGAUGGGCGAACAACAAAGAAUGAUGAACAGCAGCUC
ensembl:rRNA 5S_rRNA 5S ribosomal RNA